rnacentral:lncRNA from 1 species
CAGAGAUCAAUACCAAGAUGAAGAUCCAGUAAAGGGAAUGAUUGGCUCUGCUAAACGCAAACUUCACAAAAUUAAUUCAUUGAAUUUAUACGGAAAAGUGUGCUGCAUGAUUUUCGACAAACCACAGAAGAAGAAUGAAACUGGAGAUGAGCGAUGCCACUUCGCAUUGUAAGUAAGUAGUAAACCUUUAUCACCUCACAUGUGAACUUCAGAUGUAGUGUUCCAUUUCUGAAAGAAUUAGAAAAAUGCUUCCCAAGGUCUAAUUAGAUGGACCGUCUUAUAUUUAGUGGCAGUUUUGUUCAGUGCAAACUAUCUGAAAGUUUAGGGUGUGAAUCAGUUAAAUGUAGUUGUCUACAUGCUUGCCUUUUCUUUUUCUAAUUUUUAGUUCCUGU